ensembl:rRNA 5S_rRNA 5S ribosomal RNA
GUCCCCGGCCAUAUCACCCUGAACGCGCCCUAUCUCCUCUGAUCUCGGAAGCUAAGCAGGGUUGGGCCUGGUUAGUACUUGGAUGGGAGACUUAUAUUUAUCCAAUAGCUAGAGAGG